GACGAACGCUGGCGGCGCGCUUAACACAUGCAAGUCGUGCGGUACCGAUGGCAAGUCUUCAUGACGAGCCUUCGGUAUAGCGGCGGACGGGUGAGUAACACGUGAGUAGCUGUCCUAGGGAGGGGGAUAACGCCUGGAAACGGGUGCUAAAAACCCCAUAAGCCUCGCAAGAGGUGAAAGUGUACUUGUUACAGCCUUAGGGUGUGCUCGCGGCCUAUCAGCUAGUUGGUGAGGUAAGGGCUCACCAAGGCUAAGACGGGUAGCCGGCCUGAGAGGGUGUACGGCCACACUGGAAUUGAGAUACGGUCCAGACUCCUACGGGAGGCAGCAGUCGAGAAUAGUCUACAAUGGCCGGAAAGGCUGAUAGUGCGACGCGCGUGAACGAGGGAGCCCUUCGGGUGUAAAGUUCUUUUCUAUACGAGCAGUGCUAUAUAUAUGGAUAGUAUAUAUAGAGGGAUAGUAGUAUAGGAAUAAGCAAGGCUAACUCCGUGCCAGCAGCCG
rnacentral:rRNA from 1 species